rnacentral:hammerhead_ribozyme from 1 species
AUCCGUCUGACGAGUCCGAAAUAAGUCGAAACGCGCUUCGUGGAU